GCCGGUUGCUGAGCUCCAUCGUCUGCGCCCUCAGCACGGAGUUCUCAGCCUGCGCGGCAGCACAGUGCCGCGUGGUGAGGUUCAACACCGAAAGGACGCGGCUGUUCUCCUUCCUCAGCUGGUUCGCCUGCGCCAUCAGAUCAUCCAGGUGCUUCUGCUUCCGUAACCUCGACCGUCUCGCGGACUCACGGUUCGAUAUCAUUCUCUUCCUCUUCUUCUCGUCCAUCGCCGCUUGCAGGUCUUCUGAUGAACCGGAGCUGUGGAACAUGCUGGAGCCAGAGGAAGCCCCACUGGGAGAAGCCAUUAGAACUUGGUGUUUUUGAAGAGAUCUGUUGGGUUUCCUCUCAAGAAAGACGAUGCAAACACGAAAGAUGCAGUUAUUGAUC
rnacentral:lncRNA from 1 species